AUAGCGUAUCGGCCCUUUGGCUAAGGUCAAGUGGAGUAUCUUCCUAGAUUAAUAUCUGAUUUGUCUUCUCUUUGAGGGCACUGUAGGAAAUGGAUUUGGGGAGCGAGGAGGUGGAACAGAAGCCUGCUCCCUACUGUCUGCAUCGACCUGGUAUUGCAGUACCUCCAGGAACGCUGCACCCCAC
rnacentral:snRNA from 1 species